GACGUUGAUUUUUACAUUGCUUCUAUUUGCAAAUCUCACCUAUCGUCGCAGAUAUUCGAAACAAAAUUGAAAAGACGUCAGACUAUUUUUACAGGAGAAAAUUGCAUUUCAUCAACGUAACUCUAAAUACUCCAUACACCAAAUUCAAAUGCUCGAAUGGCGCUGACAAUUCGACAGUCAAAGAAAUUUCUUUCACUAUUAAAGAAUUAGACAACGACCCAUUGUCUAAUUCAAUUAUCCU